rnacentral:rRNA from 1 species
GUAGGUGGCAAGCGUUGUCCGGAAUUAUUGGGCGUAAAGCGCGCGCAGGCGGUUCUUUAAGUCUGAUGUGAAAGCCCACGGCUCAACCGUGGUGGGUCAUUGGAAACUGGAGAACUUGAGUACAGAAGAGGAAAGCGGAAUUCCACGUGUAGCGGUGAAAUGCGUAGAGAUGUGGAGGAACACCAGUGGCGAAGGCGGCUUUCUGGUCUGUAACUGACGCUGAGGCGCGAAAGCGUGGGGAGCAAACAGGAUUAGAUACCCUGGUAGUCCACGCCGUAAACGAUGAGUGCUAAGUGUUAGGGGGUUUCCGCCCCCCUUAGUGCUGCAGCUAACGCAUUAAGCACUCCGCCUGGGAGUACGGCCGCAAGGCUG